GCCACACUUUCAAAAACGGUUGAUUACACAGCCCAAUGAUGGUUUACAUCUGUGACUAUAAUUUUUUAUUAUCGCAUCUUGUUUCUAACAUGUUAUCUGUGACAUGAGCCCUGAAUGAGGCUCUUUCGAUUCAGGGAAUCAUUGUGUGAUUAGUAGGCCUAUGCUGUCCGGAGUCCAUGCUUUCUAGUGUAAAUAGUUUUAAAUAGCCUAUAGCUAUGAUGUAUCUGCCUUACCAGUCCUUUCCGCAAAAUAGACAGGUGCUCUUCACUUCAGACAGGUUGUUUGUCUCUGCUCCAUUAAGUUUUACAGUCCAAUUCAAUCCACGACACAACUCUGUCCUGUAAAGUCCUCGAAUUUGGGGCAUGUUCAUUGGGCAGGUAAUUCGAAGGGGAGCGCCCAAACCGGUGCGUCAUACGUCAAUCUUCUUGGAGUAUAAAAUGAUCUGCGCUUCACUAGUGGAGCCUAAACCAUUUUGGAUUGAGCGUUAGUAAGGAGUGGAGUAUCAUUGAACGAAAACGAUCAACGCUUAAGAUGACGAAAAUGGUUGUGACUUAUCUUGGAUUCCUUCUUCUGGCCGUACACAUCACAACACCGGUGGUUGCCACUGAGAAUGCUACAGAAAUGAACACGGCGGUUAAUAAUACCGAGCCCGUCACGAAUGUCAGCUUAACUACCGUAACCGACAACCCCUCCAGCAGCGGCGUUAACUCCACCGUUGCUACCGCUGCAGGCAUAACGUUUCAGUCCGGUGCCCUAAGCCUGCUACUUCCAGUGUCUAUUGUGGGCACGCUCAUUCACGGCCGCUGCUAGAGGAUGGGAAAUUCAACUGAGACCACCAAGACUGUGACGAUCAGCGGCAAAGACUGUGAGCCUCCAAAGAGCAUAUUUUUUUAAAUUCUCGGGAAUCGGUCUCCCGCGGUUUGUGUGUUGGGAUGGAACUGACGCUGUACACUGACGGAAAGUGGGCAACAACAUGGACGGGGUUUCUCCCACGUAAGGUGCACACCACUGGUUCUUCAUGCUGAAUUCCUAGCGUCCAGAAAUCCCGUCCCACUCGAAGGACUGCUCUAACAUCUUGCUUUGAACUCCAAAACACACAGGUGGAGAUUGAUGUGCAACGAGGAUGUACAAAACUCCGCUCUUUGGCACGAUUUUUUUCUGUUCACUUUAUGCCACUGUUUGUACCUGUGUAUUUGUAUUGGACAGUAACUUUUAAGCGCCUAAAUUCACAAGUGCCCAGGAAGUCAACCCACCAUGUUGGUCGAGGCGCCUUGUGAUUUGCAAGUCUUGCGCUCAGUGAAAGCCAACGGUUAAAUUUGCCCGUCUUAUGCGCAUCUCCAACAGGUGCAUGAACAUAUUGUGAUUUAGCUUAAUUAUAAUUGUUUUAUAAAAAGUGUAAACCCCUGUUUAAGUGUGUAAUGCUUUAGGUUUUUUUCUUUUGUAAAAAAUAUAGGCUAUAAUAAGUUUCAUUGUAAUGCGUUCGUGAUCUGUAAUGUUCUUUGUAAUGCUUUGUCGACAAUAAAAUUCCCAAGUUGCCCUAA